GUGCGUGUAAUUGUCGUGCGCGCAACAACUUAUCAAACCGACGACGAUAUUCUCGGGGGGAGGUUCGAGAGAAGGAAACGUGUAUUCAACAUGAUUGUUUGAAUCCACUAGACACUGUGUAUAAAUCAACGUAAGUACGCCGUCAUCGAGUUAAGACACUCCGAUCAGUCAACACAGGGGAAGGACGAGUCAAUAUUAUGGAAUUACGUAAAAUUGCUAUUAUCCGAACGUCGAUCACACUCCGAUUUUCAAUAUUCCUUUUCCCAUUCGCAUCCUCUAUCACAAUUCCUGUCUCGUCGAUCCCACGAAAACCCUCGAAAAACACCGCACGGACCAGAAACAAGAACAACCAUAGACUUCAAGCGCCAGCGUACGAUCACCCGCGUCCGACCUUCUACGACUGACCCAUUGAUCGCGAACAUUCCGGUCAACGGUUCCCGAUCAACGUACCUGGUAGAGGAGCGGUGACGAACGCCUGGGCAGUAGUAACUAGCAACGACAGCACUAUGAACAAGGACCACGCGAGGAUGAUCAUCCUGGAUCGUAUCGAUCACUCAGCGACAACGAUACCGAUUCGAUCAGCUUGCUGGGGAUUGCUUCGACGACUUCUACCACGAUUCGGAGCACUUCUCCUCAAGUCCGCUUCGAUUUUGACUAUCGACCGUUCACGGUGUCUUCGCUGGGAACAGGUGCAACGAAGAAAAUAGGGAUACGUCACGGCGCGAGCACGUGUGUAACGUUUGACGUCGGUCGCAACUGAACUCUCCAGGUAAACCGAACUCCGGCACACUCGCGAACACGUUUCUCCCGAUAGAUCGCGGGUGGGGGAUCGUUGGAGGGCCGCCAGGCUCAGGACUCGGCUUCGCCGACU